UAGCAGUGUUCAGAAUUCGUUCAUUCAUGC
rnacentral:piRNA from 1 species